AUUGAACGCUGGCGGCAGGCCUAACACAUGCAAGUCGAACGAGUGGCGGACGGGUGAGUAAUGUCUGGGAAACUGCCCGAUGGAGGGGGAUAACUACUGGAAACGGUAGCUAAUACCGCAUACCAUCGGAUGUGCCCAGGUGGGAUUAGCUCGUAGGUGGGGUAACGGCUCACCUAGGCGACGAUCCCUAGCUGGUCUGCGAGGGUGACGGGGCAUGCUGGAGUUGGGAGACGGUCCAGACUCCUACGGGAGGCAGCAGUGGGGAAUAUUGGACAAUGGGCGCAAGCCUGAUGCAGCCAUGCCGCGUGUAUGAAGAAGGCCUUCGGGUUGUAAAGUACUGUCAGCGAGGAGGCGUUAAGCGCAGAAGAAGCACCGGCUAACUCCGUGCCAGCAGCCGCGGUAAUUC
rnacentral:rRNA from 1 species